UCUCCAGCAUGAAAUUUGGAAAUGUUUUGCAAGUGGAACCUGUCUCUGGUUUCAAGCUGAUGAGCUAGUAAUGGGAAUUCUGGAUCAAAGGGUUUCGAAUGUUGUGGAGGUAUAACGGCAUUAGAAGCAAUUUCUCCUCUACGAGAUUUUUAUGAACGAGGAAACCCUAAUGAUCAUUUGUUGUACUGAAGAUAUGUUGUUGUAUCCUUACAUCCAAGAGAAAUGAAGCUGGCCCAGUGGAAUAUCAUGUAAUGACAGGGGCUUAAUGAAAUUGCAAGCAUCCAU